UACGGGGGGAGCAAGCGUUGUUCGGAUUUACUGGGCGUAAAGGGCGCGUAGGCGGUCAGCACAAGUCAGUUGUGAAAUCUCCGGGCUUAACUCGGAAAGGUCAACUGAUACUGUGCGACUAGAGUGCGGAAGGGGCAACUGGAAUUCUCGGUGUAGCGGUGAAAUGCGCAGAUAUCAGGAAGAAUAUCCGUGGCGAAGGCGGCUCUCUGGUACGGCACUGACGCUGAGACGC
rnacentral:rRNA from 1 species